rnacentral:misc_RNA from 1 species
UCGUGUAACCUCCGACUUCUCUUCACUGUCGUUUUAAUGUUCUUUUUAUUUAUAUUCACACAUGUCUAACCAUGCGUAAUAUAAAUGUUAUUAGCUUUAAGCAAUAACAGUGUGUACAAGUACUUUUUGUUGUUUUUUUUUAGUAGGACUUAUAAUAUGUAUUUCGUUGUCAAAAUCCCAUAAAAUGAUCGUACAAAAACCAAGUUCCAGACAGGUGCACCAUUGGCCAACCAUGACAUAAUUCAAGAUGACGUCAAGCGUACGAGAGUGUAAAUAUCCUUUGAAAUCAGCUAGCAGCCGAGAGAAAUAUACUGAAGAUUCCUGUGACGUCAAACAAAAGAAACGAGCCGAGUCUCUACUAUUUCUACGUAAAACACGGUAUUCACAGCCGAGAGAAAUAUACUGAAGAUUCCUGUGACGUCUAACAAAAGAAACGAGCCGAGUCUCUGCUAUUUCUACGUAAAACACGGUAUUCACAGCCGAGAGAAAUAUACUGAAGAUUCCUGUGACGUCUAACAAAAGAAACGAGCCGAGUCUCUGCUAUUUCUACGUAAAACACGGUAUUCACAGCCGAGAGAAAUAUACUGAAGAUUCCUGUGACGUCUAACAAAAGAAACGAGCCGAGUCUCUGCUAUUUCUACGUAAAACACGAUAUUUUAUCAUGUUAUCCAGCCAUCUCCUUUGUUCGAUAUUGGUACCAGUCUUGACUGUUUCCCUUUCUUCCUGUACAGCUACAGAGAUGAAAGAUGACAAACCUUCUGACGAUUCCAUUAUUCAUUUCACACAUAGGAACCCCUUACCCAUGAAAAGAGCGAGUGAUCAUAGAAAUAUCAAAACGCCAAUGACGAGAAUCCAAUCAAAAGGUGUGGAAACAUUUUCUUAAGAGUAACGAAACUCCUUCAAGAUCACCUGAAAGAUCACCACCUAUAUCAAGUCAAAUGCUCAUUACGGCAGGCUUUCUUCAAAUGUAUAAGAAAUUAUCGCGAAAAACCGCGUUGGGACCUGAUGCCAGUUAUGAGCAACAAUUUACGGAAGUUUCGGAAGAGACUCGCCGAUAGUUUGUGGUCGACUCGUUCUUGUGUCGUCUCGCAGAACUGAGUCUAAUCAGCAAGUUCAUACGGACACCAACACAUACAUUAAAUGUAUAGCCAGCGACUGUUACAGAUGGCGCCCUGUACUCUGAUUUCCACAAAGGCUCAAAAAUAUCUGAAAUUUACAUUUAAAUUUUGAGAUGAAGAAAAAAUACUUGUAAUAACUAAACAUGUCAUUUU